GCCAAGCAAGGGAACAAAGAGAAAAAGGGAAGAACAAACCCUAGGAAGGAAAAAUUCAAGAGAAAUUGUUGGAUUUCAAAGAAUCAAGCAAGUAAAAAUAAGAUUUUUUAAUUUUAGCUUGUGAUCUACCUUUCCCAUGCAUUCUUUUUCAUUCUACAUGGCUGAAAUUCAAGUUUUCAAGAGGGAACCUUUGCUGGCCAAACCUAGAGAGAGAAGUUUUG
rnacentral:lncRNA from 1 species